GUCCUCGUAGCUCAGUUGGAUAGAGCGACCGCCUCCUAAGCGGUAGGUCGGAGGUUCGAAUCCUCUCGUGGACG
rnacentral:tRNA from 2 species